UACAGAGGUCUCAAGCGUUGUUCGGAUUCAUUGGGCGUAAAGGGUGCGUAGGCGGUUGGAUAAGUGUGGUGUGAAAUCUCCCGGCUUAACUGGGAGGGUGCGCUACAAACUGUCUGACUAGAGUGUGGGAUGGGUAAGUGGAAUUCCUGGUGUAGCGGUGAAAUGCGUAGAUAUCAGGAGGAACACCGGUGGUGUAGACGGCUUACUGGACCAUAACUGACGCUGAGACACGAAAGCGUGGGUAGCAAACAGG
rnacentral:rRNA from 1 species